ACUGCUUCCCACCUUCACUGGGGAUCCCUGUCAGAGCCUCAGAAAAUGUCUUCUGUAUGCUGGGUGAUGGGAAAGGAACCAUGAGAAAGUCCUUCUGUCACGUCGUGCCACUUGUCUCAUCCCCUCUCCCUGGGCACCUUCACAAGUCCCUUGGAGCCAAACCAGGGCAGCUCUGCGGAACCUUUGUUUUUCCAUCAGCGGGAGCUGUCUCCAUGCCCACUCUGCCACUCCCUAAGCUGGCUGCCUGUUUCCUCUCAUCCCCUUCCAGGCCUUCAGCAGCUCACAGAGAAAAAUCGUACGUCUGAGGGACACAAGACUUGAAAGAUAUUUGAUGAAGCCAGGAAAGGAUAUUGGCAAGCAAGAAUAUUUGUUUAAAUUGAAAUCAAGACCUUCCUUCUCCUCGGUGGAGGCUCUCACAUACAAAAGGAAAAUGUGGACAUAGACACACACAUAGAUAGAGGACGCCAUGUGAGGAUGAAGGCAGAGGUGUAUAAGCCAAGGAACACCGCAGAUUACCAGCAAACCACCAGAAGCCAGGGAACAGGCGUGGGACAGGUUCUCCCUCACAGCCCUCACUCAGAAGAAACCAACCCAGCUGACACCUCGACCUCAGACUUCUAGCCUCCAGAACUGUGAGACAGUAAGUUGUUUAAAUCAGCUUGUUGUUUUAAACU